GGUGGCUCAAUGGUAGAUUGCUUGCUUUAAAUGCAAGAAGCCCUGGGUUCAAUUCCUCAGCACCA
rnacentral:tRNA from 1 species